rnacentral:rRNA from 1 species
UACGUAGGGACCAAGCGUUGUCCGGAAUCAUUGGGCGUAAAGAGCGUGUAGGCGGCUUGUUAAGUCUUGCGUGAAAUCUCGGGGCUCAACCCCGAGCGGUCGUGAGAAACUGGCAGGCUAGAGUGCGGGAGAGGAGAGUGGAAUUCCUGGUGUAGCGGUGAAAUGCGCAGAUAUCAGGAAGAACACCCGUGGCGAAGGCGGCUCUCUGGAACGCAACUGACGCUGAGACGCGAAAGCAUGGGGAGCGAACAGG